GCCCCUUCGUGCUACGGACAUGCCACUGAAGGCAUCACGUAGACCCACAUCCUUCCGUGCAGAACGGGUCACACUAGAAGCCUCGGCGCGUCCGAGGGAUGCCAACAGCUACCCAUCUCGGCACUGCGAGGCCAGGCCGGCACCUCAACAGAGCACACUUUUCCGAGGGACAAGGCGACAGGAGAGACGUUGUUGGUUGCGUCAAACACGGCCGCACCUUGGCAUCAACCAUGAUGAACCGCCCAUGGUGCACUUCCGGAUGAUUGGGAACUUGCCCCUUCGUGCUAAGGAUAUGCCCGUGAAGGCUUCACCUAGCGCCACAACCUUCCGUGCGGAACGGGUCACACUAGAUGCCUCGGCACGUCCGAGGGAUGACCGCAACUACCCACUGUGAUGCCAGACCGGCACCUCGACCAAAGGGACGAAGGCAUCAAGAUUUUUGACUUGGACCUUGAGGAACAAGCAAAGAACUUGCUGCACGCCAAAUGUGUCAUGGUGCCGGAUAAGCUCACUACGAGAUGCCCACAUUUUUCCGUUGGACCAGCCAGAACCGGGACACGUACGACCUGGAUUCGGCAUGGACUAUUUUUGACUCGGUCGAAUUUCCCACAUCGCCAUGGAAAAACGCACCAGCAUGCUUGGGAAAGCUUGCUGGGGCG